rnacentral:rRNA from 1 species
GUCCCAGACUCCUACGGGAGGCAGCAGUGGGGGAUAUUGCACAAUGGGGGGAACCCUGAUGCAGCGACGCCGCGUGGGUGAAGGAGUGCUUCGGCAUGUAAAGCCCUAUCGGCAGGGAAGAAGCAAGACGGUACCUGACUAAGAAGCCCCGGCUAACUACGUGCCAGCAGCCGCGGGAAUACGUAGGGGGCGAGCGUUAUCCGGAUUUACUGGGUGUAAAGGGAGCGUAGACGGACUUGCAAGUCUGAUGUGAAAAUCCGGGGCCCAACCCCGGAACUGCAUUGGAAACUGUAUAUCUAGAGUGUCGGAGAGGCAAGUGGAAUUCCUGGUGUAGCGGUGAAAUGCGUAGAUAUCAGGAGGAACACCAGUGGCGAAGGCGGCUUGCUGGACAGUAACUGACGCUGAGGCGCGAAAGCGUGGGGAGCAAACAGGAUUAGAUACCCUUGUA